rnacentral:rRNA from 1 species
AGUGAACGCUGGCGGCAGGCCUAACACAUGCAAGUCGAGCGGCAGCGGGUCCUUCGGGAUGCCGGCGAGCGGCGGACGGGUGAGGAAUGCGUCGGAAUCUGCCUUUUUGUGGGGGAUAACGUAGGGAAACUUACGCUCAUACCGCAUACGACCUACGGGUGAAAGUGGGGGACCGCACGGCCUCACGCAGAAAGAUGAGCCGACGUCGGAUUAGCUAGUUGGCGGGGUAAAGGCCCACCAAGGCGACGAUCCGUAGCUGGUCUGAGAGGAUGAUCAGCCACACUGGAACUGAGACACGGUCCAGACUCCUACGGGAGGCAGCAGUGGGGAAUAUUGGACAAUGGGCGCAAGCCUGAUCCAGCCAUGCCGCGUGUGUGAAGAAGGCCUUCGGGUUGUAAAGCACUUUUGUCCGGAAAGAAAUCCUGUCGGCUAAUACCCGGCGGGGAUGACGGUACCGGAAGAAUAAGCACCGGCUAACUUCGUG